rnacentral:lncRNA from 1 species
CCCCCCCCCCCCCCCCCCCCCCCCCCCCCCCCCCCCCCCCCCCCCCCCCCCCCCCCCCCCCCCCCCCAGGGCCCGGCCCGGCACGGCACAGCCCGGCUCGGCGCGGCCCGGCGGGACGGCGGCUGCGAUCCGCCGCGGCCGGCGAUGGGAGAUGGAGGGAGCCGGCGGUGCGGCAGAAGCACUUGUGCUGGAUAAUGACAUAUCAGCUCAUGCCCAGAAUGUUGCCAAGGCCAAAUAUGAAUUUUUAUUUGGCUUGGAAGAAGAGAAACCUUCAGGAAUGGGUAGUGGCCGUGGAAGCAGCAGUUUGCCUCCUCACACCACCAUCAAUGAAUUUCCAGAGUACGGCAGCGUAGAGUCAAGCAGACAGGCGGCGGGGGCCCCGCCCGUGACGCGCAGCCCCGAAGGACGGGACGGCCACCACCGCGCCCGGCCCGGGCCUCCGCGCGCGGCCCCUGCCCCCCCCCCCCCCCCCCCCCCCCCCCCCCCCCCCCCCCCCCCCCCCCCCCCCCCCCCCCCCCCCCCCCCCCCCCCCCCCCCCCCCCCCCCCCCCCCCCCCCCCCCCCCCCCCCCCCCCCCCCCCCCCCCCC